GACGAACGCUGGCGGCGUGCUUAACACAUGCAAGUCGAACGAAGAGCGAUGGAAGCUUGCUUCUAUCAAUCUUAGUGGCGAACGGGUGAGUAACGCGUAAUCAACCUGCCCUUCAGAGGGGGACAACAGUUGGAAACGACUGCUAAUACCGCAUACGAUCUAAUCUCGGCAUCGAGGAAAGAUGAAAGGUGGCCUCUAUUUAUAAGCUAUCACUGAAGGAGGGGAUUGCGUCUGAUUAGCUAGUUGGAGGGGUAACGGCCCACCAAGGCGAUGAUCAGUAGCCGGUCUGAGAGGAUGGACGGCCACAUUGGGACUGAGACACGGCCCAGACUCCUACGGGAGGCAGCAGUGGGGAAUCUUCCGCAAUGGACGAAAGUCUGACGGAGCAACGCCGCGUGAGUGAUGACGGCCUUCGGGUUGUAAAGCUCUGUUAAUCGGGACGAAAGGCCUUCUUGCGAACAGUUAGAAGGAUUGACGGUACCGGAAUAGAAAGCCACGGCUAACUACGUG
rnacentral:rRNA from 1 species